UAAGGAAAGUGCAUUUAUAUAGAGACAGGCUAUAUUGCACAAGUUUCAGCAAAUUGACGGCGUUGCGGCUAAAGUUGCCACUGUUGCUUUGUUUAGUUAGUUCAGAAGCAGUAACCGGAAACAAAUGAAAUGCAAUUUCUGGCACUUAUAUCUUUCAUUGCACUUGCAAGAGGUAGCUUUGAUUACACUGGCAGGGCUACAAUGAUGGAUCUUAAAUCGUUUCUUCAGGCAGAAGAUAAAAUAUAUAUGUACUACAGAAGUUAUUCCCGUCAAAUAAGUGGCGGCGAUCCAAGAUGUAUCUACAUCAACUACAUAAGACUUUUGAAUGCGACGGCUAUUGAUUUCGUAGAGGCUUAUCGAAAGCAUGACGGAAGCUCCCGGGCCUCCUAUGUAAAUGCACAAAUAUCGAAGAGGCCCUCUGCCGACAGUCCACCUGUGAUCCGAGCUACACAAGGCGGACUGAGGAGAAAGUAUCGAUUCGAAUAUUUUGAUUCAGCGGCUGCUUGUGCUGUUAUUACUUUCAGCGACGGAAACUGCCAACCAAAAUGCGAACUCCACAUUUGGAAAAGAAACGUGAAAUCAGGACCAUCAGAAAACUGCAUAAGAGAAUACGAAGGGUCAUGCCCGGGAGGCAAAAUAUACCAAGUGUAUUACGACAAUUGUAUGUAACAUUGAAUGAAUACACCAGUAUACUUUCACUCAGAAAAUUGUUCUCUUGCGUUAGCGCUCGGUGGUGCAUUCUCUCGUAAAAAAAAAAACAAAAAACAAAUAAAGACAGCAGACUUUUGUGAGUUUGUAGAAUCAUAGCUCCGUUUCCAGCGAAGCCGUUUUUUUAGAGUAGUUUCAACAAGAAACUAGGUUGCUUUUAAUUAGGCUACACAUUUUAUAGCGUUAUUAGCUUAUAUCGCUUUCGAGAACUUUUACUAAAUAUGAAAUAAAGCCCGUUUCUCUCCCGCGCCUUUGAUUUCACGUUUACUACAGCCCUGAUCU